CUCACCUCCCUCGCUCUGCGCACCCAAGCGCCUGGCUUUCAGGAGUUGGAUUUUCUAGAAAAACAGGGUGCGCAGAGGUGUGUGAGUGUGGGUCAGCUGCUGGGGGAACAGAAGGCACUUGCUGAGGUCAGAAGCUACCAGCCUGGGGCUCCAGCCACUCAGCCUGUUCCACCUGCCUGAGGCCUGAGGGAAGUCACAACUCAGCACAGAGAUAACCAGCAACAAAGAAAUAAAAAAGUGUUGCCUGAGACAUCAGUUUUGACCACACAAGAAAUCCCAAGAAGGAUCGGAGGAGCGUGCUGGAGGCCGGGAGACCCAGGAGCAGGGAUGCUGUGUGCAAGGCAGACCACAGAGGACCUGAACUCAGCCCUGACCAACAGAGUGACUCUCUGACCACCUCCCACGUCCCAGCCCCUAGACGCCGACCCCAACUCACUCUACUCACGAUGCUCUUGUCCUCAGAGCUCCACGUCCAAAGUCUCCCCACCUGCCGGGCUCUGCUCAGAUACCCCCUCCUCCAGGAAGCCCUCUCUGCUGCGCCUUAGAUCCGCGCCCCAGUCUGCGCUCCUGUCACACCCUCCCCGGGUGUUCCCAUGCCCACAGUAAGCCGGUGUCCCAGCAACAUGUGCGUGAAGGAACCGGAAGCCUAGAGAGGGCCAGACUUCUGGAGGGCAGAGGCUUUCAGAACGUGAGGGAUCACAGAUGCAAUGCAAGGACAGCCCAUGGAAGCUUCUGGAAGCACACAGGGCUAGGCGGGUCAGCAGCCCAGCUUCUUCAAGUGGGAGGAAGAGUGAGGGCUUCGAGGUCUGGCCGAGGACGGCAGGGGAGGGAAGAGAAUGCACCACCUUACCUCACAGCAAAAAGCCCCAUUUGAUAGAGGACAGAACUGAGGUUCAGGGAACCCUUUCUCCAAGGCUGCAGAGUCAAGCCUGGCCCCUGCAGCUGCCAGACUCCUUUCUAAACUUGGAUUUCUCAAAGGGAGUUUUAUCCCCCAGGGGCAUGUGGACUUUUACGGGGUGUUUAUGUUCAUUCCGGUAGCUGGGAGGGCGGGGCUAC